rnacentral:misc_RNA from 1 species
GCAUGGUAAAGCUUGGCUGGGGAAAGGAAAAUUUCUCGUAGCCUUUGUUCCAAGUCAAGACCCUAAGAGUAUGUAAACCCCACUGUGAACAUGGGCCACCUACAUAGGGUGACAUUUCAUCCUCAUCACCUACCUAGAGAGGUUUUCUGACUGCUGACGAGCUUGCUUGCAAAGUAUCACUUAAAGACUGAUGAGUGACUAUCAUGCACUGA